AAGGAUCAUUACCGAGAUCAUGCCCUCACGGGUAGACCUCCACCCUAUGUUUACUACACCUCGUUGCUUUGGCGGGCCGCUUCGGCUACCGGCUUCGGCUGGUACGCGCCCGCCAGGGAACCAACAACCCUGAAUUUUCGUGUCGUCUGAGAAAAAACAUAAUAUUAAAACUUUCAACAACGGAUCUCUUGGCUCUG
rnacentral:misc_RNA from 1 species